rnacentral:tRNA from 1 species
GCCGCCGUAGCUCAACGGGUUAGAGCACCAGACUUUCAAUCUCGUGGUUGGAGGUCCAAGACCUCCCGGCGGCACCA